GACGAACGCUGGCGGCGUGCUUAACACAUGCAAGUCGAACGGAAAGGCGCUGCUUUUGUGGGGUGCUCGAGUGGCGAACGGGUGAGUAACACGUGAGUAACCUGCCCUUGACUUUGGGAUAACUUCAGGAAACUGGGGCUAAUACCGGAUAGGAGCUCCUGCUGCAGGGUGGGGGUUGGAAAGCUUCGGCGGAGGGGGCUGGAUUCUCGGCUUAUCAGCUUGUUGGUGGAGUAGUGGCUUACCAGGGCUUUGACGGGUAGCCGGCCUGGGAGGGUGACCGGCGACCUUGGGCCUGAGGUACGGCCCAGACUCCUACGGGGGGCAGCAGUGGGAAACCUUGCCCAAUGGUGGCGCGCCUGUUGAAGAAGCCCCCCGAGCGGGAUGACGGCCUUCGGGUUGUGAACCGCUUUCGCCUGUGACGAAGCGUUAGUGACGGUACUGGGUGAAGAAGCACCGGCUAACUACGUG
rnacentral:rRNA from 1 species